UAGAUUAGAGUUUUGACCUGGCUCAGAUUGAACGCUGGCGGCAGGCUUAACACAUGCAAGUCGAGCGGAGAGAGGUAGCUUGCUACUGAUCUUAGCGGCGGACGGGUGAGUAAUGCUUAGGAAUCUGCCUAUUAGUGGGGGACAACAUUUCGAAAGGAAUGCUAAUACCGCAUACGUCCUACGGGAGAAAGCAGGGGAUCUUCGGACCUUGCGCUAAUAGAUGAGCCUAAGUCGGAUUAGCUAGUUGGUGGGGUAAAGGCCUACCAAGGCGACGAUCUGUAGCGGGUCUGAGAGGAUGAUCCGCCACACUGGGACUGAGACACGGCCCAGACUCCUACGGGAGGCAGCAGUGGGGAAUAUUGGACAAUGGGCGCAAGCCUGAUCCAGCCAUGCCGCGUGUGUGAAGAAGGCCUUAUGGUUGUAAAGCACUUUAAGCGAGGAGGAGGCUACUUUAGUUAAUACCUAGAGAUAGUGGACGUUACUCGCAGAAUAAGCACCGGCUACUCUGCCAGCGUUCCCC
rnacentral:rRNA from 1 species